rnacentral:rRNA from 1 species
AGGGUUUGAUCCUGGCUCAGAACGAACGUUGGCGGCGUGGAUCAGGCAUGCAAGUCGAACGCGAAAGGGGACUUCGGUCCCCGAGUAGAGUGGCGAAAGGGUGAGGAAUACGUAGGCAACCUACCCCUGGGACGGGGAUAGCCGCGGGAAACUGCGGGUAAUACCCGAUGACCUCCGAGAGGCGCCUGUCUUUUGGAGCAAAAGGGACUUCCGCCCGGGGAGGGACCUGCGCCCUAUUAGCUAGUUGGUGAGGUAAUGGCUCACCAAGGCGACGAUGGGUAGCGGGCGUGAGAGCGUGGCCCGCCACACUGGGACUGAGACACUGCCCAGACUCCUACGGGGGGCUGCAGUCGAGAAUCUUUGUCAAUGGGCGAAAGCCUGAACAAGCGACGCCGCGUGGGGGAUGAAGGCCUUCGGGUUGUAAACCCCUGUCAGAGGGGAUGAAGGUCGGCGAGUCCACUCGCCGGCUUGACAUAGCCUCAGAGGAAGCUCUGGCUAAGUCCGUGCCAGCAGCAGCGGUAAUACGGACGGAGCUAACGUUGUUCGGAAUUACUGGGCUUAAAGGGCGCGUAGGCGGCUGGUUAAGUCUGGUGUGAAAGCCCUCGGCUCAACCGAGGAAUUGCAUUGGAUACUGGCUGGCUCGAGGAAGGUAGGGGAGCGUGGAACUACCAGUGGAGCGGUGAAAUGCGUAGAUAUUGGUAGGAACGCCGGUGGCGAAAGCGGCGCUCUGGGCCUUUCCUGACGCUGAGGCGCGAAAGCUAGGGGAGCGAACAGGAUUAGAUACCCUGGUAGUCCUAGCCGUAAACGAUGGGCACUAGGUAGAGGAGGUUCCGAUGCCGUCUCUGCCGAAGCGAAAGCGAUAAGUGCCCCGCCUGGGGAGUACGGUCGCAAGGCUGAAACUCAAAGGAAUUGACGGGGGCUCACACAAGCGGUGGAGCAUGUGGCUUAAUUCGAGUCAACGCGAAGAACCUUAUCCUGGGUUUGACAUGCACGGAUUAGCCCCAUGAAAGUGGGGUAACGCCUUCGGGUGGAACGUGCACAGGUGCUGCAUGGCUGUCGUCAGCUCGUGCCGUGAGGUGUUGGGUUAAGUCCCGUAACGAGCGAAACCCUUGUCCUUAGUUGCCAGCGGUUCGGCCGGGGACUCUAAGGAGACUGCCGGUGUUAAACCGGAGGAAGGUGGGGAUGACGUCAAGUCCUCAUGGCCUUUAUGCCCAGGGCUGCACACGUGCUACAAUGGUAGGUACAAAGGGACGCGAAGCCGCGAGGCGGAGCAAAUCCCAAAAAACCUAUCCCAGUCGGGAUUGCAGGCUGAAACUCGCCUGCAUGAACGUGGAAUCGCUAGUAAUCGCAGAUCAGCUACGCUGCGGUGAAUGUGUUCCUGAGCCUUGUACACACCGCCCGUCAAGCCACGAAAGCGGGGAGCGUCCGAAAUCGCUGAGCUAACCCACCUUAGGGUGGGAGGCAGGUGCCGAAGACGAGACCCGUGAUUGGGACUAAGUCGAAACAAGGUA